rnacentral:rRNA from 1 species
UAAAUAGCCCGGCUAGCUUUGGCUGGUCGCUGGCUUCUUAGAGGGACUAUCGGCUCAAGCCGAUGGAAGUUUGAGGCAAUAACAGGUCUGUGAUGCCCUUAGAUGUUCUGGGC